rnacentral:lncRNA from 1 species
GUAAAUAUUAAAAUAUGAGUCACACUAACGCUGGGGUUUGUCGUUUAGGAUCUCCAGUGAUAUAUAAAAAGUUUAUAUCACAUGGAGUAUUAAUUAAAAAUAUUAAGUUUUUAUCAAAUAAAAUAAUAAUAAGUCAAUGAAAGCCAACUGGUUCACUCGGUAAAGAUUAUUCAGUUCCAAAGUCUAAUAUCCCCACUCUUCACGUUCAAGCCCUAGCUUCCCCUCUCUCUAUAUAUAAGCUAUUCUAGCUACGGAUCUUUUCAAUUCUC